GCACGGGGAAAGGGGGGAGAGAGCCCCGCGAACAAAGAGCCACCAAAGCCCUCGGAGCCCCUCGGCCGGGCAGGGGGGCUGCUUUCGGGUGCCGGGUGCUUGGAGGUGAGCUUUGCAGUUAACCAGCCUGCCCUGCAGCCGCAGGACACUCCUCUGCCCCCCGGCCCGCCGUGCCCACACUUGGUCCCUUCUCCUCCGGCGGUGAUGCCGCCGGGGCCGCUUCCCCAAACCUGGGGCCGAGCCAGCAGCUCCCCGAGCCCCAAGGGGUGCUCGCAGGGCGGGCAGAGGCUGCGGGAUGCCCGCUCUCUCGGCACCCCCCCGCCGUGGCAGCGCCCCUCUCCGCAAGCUGAACCGAGCCCCGGCUCCCCCCUGCAAGGAGCGGAGGGGUGCUGCUGGCAGAGCCGGGCAAUCCCCGGCGAGCUGCAGCCCCUGGGUGGCCUCCACCACAAAAGGAGGUUUCCCCUGAGUGUGUGUCCAAGGGCUUUUGACAUCCCAUCACCUGGCACGUUCUUCUGGGGCCAAGAGCGUGGGACUGGCCCCGCGCCCGCAGGCACGUCCCUGCCCCUUCGCUCCUGUCUUCACCUAGAAACUCCCUCCAAGAGUUAUGUUGGUGUUGAUUUGCCUAAAAGGGAGAAACAACAGGCUAGGCGCUGGGAUCACAACGCAGCUCCAGCGCAGUUUGGGUAUUUCUGGGAUUUUUAGUAAAAUUAUUUAUGGGAUUAUUAUUGAAGAGAGUAGGCCUGUGUAGUAUCAUUUUGUGGUAAGCCACAUUCAUUAAUCAGCUACUGAAUAGAUCUUCUUAUAGAGAUGUUUUAUGGGAAGCCAGCCUUCCUGCUGUGACUUCUGUAAAUUGCACAAUCCCUGUACAUCCAGUGUCCAGCCUGGUUUGGUCACUGCUGGCAGCACAGGAAAGGGAUGGGACCCACGGCAUCCCCAGGGGAGGCAAGGGGCAGCUGUGCUGAGUGGCCACAGCAUUGCCCCAGGCUGGCUGUUGGCACACGCCAAGGCCAGUGCACGCUGUUUCGGGGAAUAUUUCAGCAUGCUUUCCUGCAGGGCGUGCUUACGGGUGUGAUCUCCCUGCAGGCCAGCCUCUCUGUUACUUGAAGUUGUUCCAAACCUGGAAAAUAAAUACCCUGAGUAUCUAACAUCCCUUGUGGAAGUGCUUCAAAGUAGUCCGUUUCCUACAGCUCCACAUAUUUUUGCCAUUUAUUGUCUGCAUUCAGUUUGUUCCUUUAAACAACAUACCUGUAACUCUCAGCCUCAGUUGGCUUCCAUGGCACUGAGCCCUACAGAUGACUUAGGGUGCCCAAUUUAAGCCCAUUUUGCCAAGUCCUGAGUGCUGCCAGAGCUUGUAUCUGUUGCCACUUGCAGCAGAUGUCACCUCCAGCUUAGGAGAUGGUCCCCAAACUCUUCUUCAGUGAAAGGAGACCUACCAGCACAUUUACUUUUACCCUGAGUCGGGUCUCUGUAAAUGGACUUUUUUUUUUUUUUUUUUCUCCUCUCCUCUCUCACCCUCUCACCUUUUUUUCACUGCUUCUGUCAUAUUCUGGCAUCCUUGACAGCUCAUCAACUGGAGCUCAGCAUGAUCAGAAGACAGCUUCAGCCCUGCACACAGCUUUGCACAGACCCAGCUGGCUGUGCAGUGUGCAAGCAGAGCCUAAGAUCUGAAGAAACUGUUUAGGCUACAAUAAUAAUAACAACUGUUUUCUAUGCUGGAGGAUGAGACAUUUCUGACAGAAAUCUGCUCACUUUAUUUUCACCAGAAAUGUUUGCUUGCUUGUUUGUUUUCCCUCCACAGGAAGUAAAGAGGAAAAAACACAUUGCUUUUCCUGGAUUAAGCUUUGAUUUGAGAUAAGGCUUUACGAGACCUUGCUAUUUCCAUUUUUAAUCACCCUUGGCGAACUCAUUGGCUAUAAAUCUGAAACGACCUGAGAUCGUGUAAACACCACCAGCCCAAGCCUGCAGACCCAAGCCAUCAUUAUUGCCCUCGCAGGGGAAAGCACGGGAGCAGGAGGCUGGGCUCUCCCCGCCCGAGAAACAGCCACAGCUUGAUGCUUAAUUGGGAAGGAACACAAGCAGCUGCUCCACCCCAGGUGCCGCACCUCGGGGUGGGAUGAGGUUCCCCUGGGACCCCCGCCCAGUGCCUGCUGAGCCCAGUUCUGCCCUGUCCCUGCCAGCAGGAGCAGGUAAGGGCAUGGUGUGGUCCUGGCAUCCUCCUGGGUGAAGCCCUGCAGCCCCCUGGCUUGACCCAGGAGUGGGGAACAGGGGCCAGCAAAAGAGGCAUCGCUCCUGAAGCACAGCGCCAUUGCGCAAAAACAAAAGUGCAGAGAAGUGGAAGAGAGAAAAUCUUCAGUUCCAUUUUCAGUCUGUUAAAGACCUGGGACUGGGGUCUCCUCUGUGUGGCAAGUGGACACACAGAGCUGCUUUCAAAAGGAGUCACCACAAGGCCUCAGUCUGGCUCGCCUCCACAAAGGUCAUGCCUGAGAAGAACCAUGAGGCCACCUCUCCACGUGGAAACCGUGAGUGUGACCAUGGCUGGUAUAGUGUCCUCCCAGCUCCCCAUGGGCUGUGGGGCUGGAGACCAGUGUGCUUUCAGCAACAGCAGGGUUGUCUCCUUCUGAGCACACUGGGAGGGCUCAUGCCCACGUUGUGAGGGCCUGCUGACAUCUGUGUUCCCAUCCACUCAGCACUGGGGUAGCUGUUUAUCUACCACCCUUCAGCAAUGAGGUUGAGGGGCGUACCUCAGAAAGGCAGCACAUGGUGCUUUCUGCAGCACUGAGUGAAGGGGAGAAACUUAAAGCCAAUGGGAAGGAUUUGCAUUAGCUCUGCUGCCAAGAAGUCUUCCCUAAACUCUCUCCUUCCAUAAUAUCUGGGUCAAAAUAAUACCGACUCUACUAAAUCUUCAAUUUUCUUGCUUUUUGUGUAUCAACACUAGGACAAAGCAAUUACAGCCCCCAGAGACACACACGAGUGAAGCGAGUGAGGCAGAGAUAUUAGUGUUGCAGUUGUCCUUCCCUGCCCUGUCCUCUGCCUUUGUUAAUCUGCAUGUGCAAAUUAAACUGAAAUUAAACUCUUAAUUUAUCAUCUUGUUGUGGUGACAGCAGGCAGGACCAGAAUGCUUUACAAACACGUAGCACCACAUUAACAUCAGAAACAGAUUCUUCCCCUGAGAGAGGGGAAGAUUUCAAAGAAUGCGGAAAGAUACCACAGGGCUGUAAUCCCUCUUGCUGUACAGAAAACAACCAGUUGUUGUUGAAACCCUUGGAGGGGGGAGGUGGGCCCAGGGAUCUGCACAACACAUGUAGGCUACGGCUUUUCCACCAUCGACAGUGGAGAUGGGAAAUUUGAAAUAAACAACCUUGGGGGGUGGAAGGAAAAAAAAAACACACACACACACACACACAAAAUACAUGGCAAAAGGGAAAAGAUACCGCACGGUAAUAACUCAAUGUGACUGCCCACAGAAGUGAACUGCUCUGAGGACCAGCCCUCUGGAUGCAGACCAUCUCUGCUACAGCAGGCUGUGGGCUCUGCUCACAUCCCCACGCUGUCUUCACCUGCCGCCACCCGUCGCUGUAGGGCACCGAGCUGCCCCUCUUGCCCUCGUGGGGUGGUAGCAGAUAGCCCGAGAUAGCCAGGGCCAUCCGUGUGGACACCCUGCGGUCCUGAUUUAGCAAAGCACUUAAACACAUGCUUAAGGGAUUUGCUGAGUUGGAUGCUGCUUUCUCCUCUGGCUCCCUCCACGUCUCCUGGCUCCCUGACCACUUGGCUCCACCACUGCUUUCUUUACCCUUUAGGAUGCUCUCACCAUCCAAAGCUGGACCCUUCUCCUUCUCCACGGUGCCAGAGGUGCCUCACAAGAGGCGAGUUUAUUUAUUCAGUCCUGCUCUGCUCCAUCAAAGAGAUCCCAGCCGGGAGAAGUCAUCAUUCAUCAGCUUGGGAGGGACUCCCGCCUGCAGUAGCAAUACUCUGCGGGGAAAUGCAAACCUGCCAAGCUUUACUUACCUUAGCCCAGCAUGAGAUGAGGCACGCUGAUAGAUGCACAGCUCUGACACGCUUUGGAGAUUGGCAUGGGGGAAUGCAUUGCCUGGCAGGUGCAGGGCUCAUGUGCCCCCACCACUGCAUGUUUUUUCAUGAGUCCCAAGCCCCGUGGGAUGACACAAGAGUGGGAGCAAAGAAAGUGUGCAAAGCAGCCCUGGGUGAAGUAUGCACAGCUGGAGGCGUCUCGCGGUGUUCUCACAGGGGAAGAGGAACAGGGGAGAGCUGUGAGCGAUGAUUAACUAUAGCCAUUAAAUGCAGAAAGCAGUGACAUAAUUUUGGGAACAUGAAUGUACCAUUUGAACUAUCCUAGAAGAAUGUCAAGUGCCGUGAAAAUAACACCAUAUGUUUAGAGAGCCUGUUCUGGAGGUUUCCAGACCACAAAGCUGGAUUUUGCUGGGCUGGAGCGCCCCGGCGGGCUCCUUUGCAGACGCGGCUCCUGGGGUGGCAGACCCUGGGAACUUGUCCUUUGCGUGGGGCAGCCGUGCCAAAGCCUCUCCAGAGCCACCUAGACUGACAGGCAGGUGCCAGCGUGGAACUGUGUGUUCUCCAUACGAGGCCAUGCGGCUUGUGAAUCAAUGGCUGGACUGUUUUGCUGUGCUGCCACGGGUUUGGAUGGGAUCCCAAGGCUUCCCCCAGGAGAACCUGGAUUCAGGUUCUGGAGAAGGUCUCCAUAAAGAAGCCUAUGAGGAAGUCUGAAUUAGCAGGAUUGUUUUGUUUGGAGGUUUUCCGCUACGACUGAGGCACUAUGUAUAAGGCAGACUCAGGACUUUGGCAUCUCUGUCAAAAUCAGCUUGCAGUUUGGGAUUUUUGAUCAAGCAGUGCUGGGGAGCAGACGUGCGGAGCUGGGUGCCACAGCUGGGCACCAGUUCCCUGCUCGGUACUGCCAUUUGGAAGUGGGGGAGCAGAGGGAAAACCAUGCCUGCCACCGCUGUUAAAAUCGACAUUUCUGCAAAUUCACCUGCAAGAAGCAAACCCCUUCAAGUGCUGCAUUUGAGAAAAUUUAUCUUUGGUUUUGCUACCCAGAAGAAAAAGAAGACCCUGGUGGCACUGUGUGCUCAUAAAACAAAAGAGAAGAAAUAAAUUAUGAAAAAGAAACUUUCAGAGACAUGGAUAGUUGAUUUGACUCUUGCAAUGAGGAGGGGACAAAUUACUGCAGGGAGCAGUGACUGAGAGCAUGGAAAUGACGAUCAACCACUCUGGGGCAUGUGUGGUCUCUCUCUGCUUCUUCAUCUCAUGGAAACAUGUUUCUAUGUGCAUGGCUACUCGUCCAGAAAUACCCCAUCGUGGAUCCCCACCAUCUGUGCCCUUUGCCAUCAGACCAGUGGCUGCCUCCUCCUGCCACCCCAGCCCAGCAGCACCAGCAGCACGGCAGGGACACAGCUUUGAGCCCAGGGACCACUGCAGGCAUUGCUGGACCAGCACAAGGGAGUGGAGAUGGCCAAAGACAAGAGAAGAAAGGGGGAAGCUGGGAAGCAGAUUAUCUGCGUAUUGACAGAACUGUUUAUUUGCUCCUGGCAAAAAUAAACCCCAGCGUAUAUUCCCUCUAGCAUUUUCAUAUUUAUAAAAAUGGAAAGCCUAAUCUGUCGCCAAGACCCAUUAUCCCCUGACUUCAGUCAGACAGUAUAUCUUAUGGAAUCAGGGAAUGUAGUAUUUUUUAUGAGGACAGAAGGGAAAAGAGAUGUUUACUAUUGUACCCUUCCUCUAUUUAUUAGCAUCUGUAACUACCACCAACAUCCAAAUGAGCUAUCUUGUGUUUUAGCCCUAGCGGGACUAGGCAAAUAAAUAGCUCAAUAACAUCUAUUGGAAAAUAAUGAGAUUGCCUCCCCCUCACAGGUGGUGGUGAACAGGGCAUAGCUCUGUGAUGCGGUGCACAGUGUUUCCAAAACACUUCUGGUUUUGAUGUGUCAUGCCGUUUAUCUUCAUGUUCCUAGGUGGGAAGCAUGCCUAUUAGCUUGGUUGUACCUGCGCUAAGUUUUGGAAACAUUUCUAAUGUGUGCUUUAUGCCUUGCCCGAGCUCAAGCAUCCUUAAGUACUUCCAGUCUCCUCAUAAAUACACCUUUGUAUUCUGCCUAAUAUAUAAACAUCACGACCCAUGUCUGAGAAUGUUGGGAAUUUUAUUAGGUUCAUAAAGUUUUAGUUGCGGUCUAGCCCAAUGGGUCCAAAAUAAAUAAACACAGAGAGCAAAAUGAGUAACAAUUUCGUACCUAUUUCUUCCCCUCCCCCUGGAGAGUUUCCCCAGGACCUGUGAAGUACUUGCUGCUGCGGUUUCUGUGGCUUGCUAUCAAAGUAUCUGCGAGGCAGCAAGCAGGAGGCAGUUGCCGAGGCAGAGAUGAAAGUUGGGAAAAGCAACUGAAAGGCAGCUACUCGGACCUUUCCACUGAUUCUCUUGGUCUCCUUCUUCCUUAAGGAUGAAGGAAAAAUUGUAAAUAAUUGUGAAUGAUUUGUGGCAGCUCCAUUCCCUUAUAGUGCUGCUCUUAACAAAGCUACUUCCUGGGGAAAGCACCCCGAGCCCUCCAGAUGGAACGAGUAAACAACCAGCACUGCAGAUGGAGACAUCUCUCUUAGAGUAUUGUGAAACCUAGCUCUUGGACUGAGGUCUUCAGCCUGGAGUUGCCCUUUCCCUGGCUCUGGACACAGGGCCACUGAUGCUUCUCCCUGCAGCACAGUGCUUGCUUUGCCUACAGGACUCAUCACUGGCAGCUGUGCUGGAAGCAAUGGUCCAGAAAAGAAGCCUUCAAUGACACCAACAGUUUCAAGGAAGCAAUGUGUGAGUGUGGUCUUUUCUUCAGAAGAUUAUGCUCCCUAGGCAUUCUAGAAACUUCUCUCAGCAGAGCCACCAUGCUCAGGAUGUAAGCAGUACAUAGGACAGAAGCUGCUGCUCUUGAUCUCCUUGUGGAAAGAUGUUGUAUUAUCAUGAGGCAAUGCCAAGUACCAUGAAGCCACCAUGCCCUUUAAAACAAUUCUGCUGUAAGCCUCAAACCUGUCAGAAAAAUACAACUGAGCAGACUUUUUAAACCAAGGGAUCAGCCAGCCAAAGCUCACACGGGAAUCAAAACAAUGACUUACAGCAGUUACAAAGUUAAAUGUGAGCUGUUUUCAAAUCUGUUGCAGGAGUGCCAGUGCCAGAGGUACCAAUUUUGCAGGACGAACAGUGAGGUAAAGCUUUAAAGAUCAAGCCCCGAAGAGCUUUCUGUUUGUUUAUGUGUGCUGCACUCAUUCUGCUUCAAGGCUAUAGCAAAUUAUUUCUGGAAUGUGGCAAAUGGCAUAAUACAUGUUACAGAUCCCAUUCUUAGUCAGCUGCAAAGCUUGUGCUGCCUUUGGGGAAGAGGGAUUAGAGACAACUUUUUAUUGUUCAAGAACUUUUAGGACAGAUAAAAAACUCAGCUGCAAUUACAAACCAAGCAAGACUGUACUAAUUUUUCUAUCACCUUCUUGACUCACAGCUGUGCAUCUGCCAAUUAGAGGUUGCUGGAAAAUUUCCAUCAAAUCAAAAUAUUUUUGGAAACCUCUCCACAGCUUGUAGGGUCCAAGAUGCUAGGGUUCCUGAAAUGUCUUGGAUUUGACAGACUUCAGCAAGUUCAAAGGUGAAUUCCUGGGAGCAAAGAAGGAGCUGUGCAGCCCUUAACCCCUGGGCAGAUGCAUCUGCAGGGAUCCACAGGCAUGUUUCCAUUUUGGCUGAGGAAUGAGGAGCCCACUCAGGGAUAAACUCUUCUGGAAAAAAAUGGGUUGUAUGAGUCCAGUGUAUGGACCAGCUUCAAGAGGGGAAUGGAUGGACACAGAUCCCAGAUGGAGGAAUGAAGCUGCUGUCCACUUCUGGAGAGCAGCCUGGCUGCCUUUGCCCGCACAUGGAGCGUCAGUGGAGACUGGAGCCUGGCAGAGAUGGGCACACGCAAGUUGCAAACCAUCAGCCCUCAUCCCAGGGUGGUAUUUUCUGGUUCUGAGUCUCCACAGACUCUGUGGCACAGAUUUGUAUUUCAAUGGGUAAAAGAGAAAUGUGCUAUUAUAUCCAAACAAAGGGGGAAAAUGCAUCUUUCUUUCUCCACAUUAUCUUCUGGCUUUGUCUAGAGGGGGCUGGCUGGAGAAGAAGAGAGAUGGGGACGAAGGGAAAGGGAAGGGCUAACAUCUGUGCCCUUCACUGUGCAUGCAGGCAGGAGCACGCAACCCCUGUCUCAGCACAGCACUGUUUUUUGGUGACGCUUUUUGAUGUAGCAAAUGUCUGUAGGAAACUGGAAGUUCAGAGAGAGAUCCUUCAGUGAUAGAAACCUUCACAUCAACUGUCCUGUCAAACAAAAGCUAAGUUAGUAGGAGUUUGUUUUUUUGUAGCAGCAAACAACAACAAAAAAGUUUCCAUGGGCUGACUCCCAUAAAGAAGCUGGACUUUUUCUUCCACUUGGUCGGGCCAGAUAGGCCAGAUCUGGAGACACAGGUCCUUUAUUGUUUAGAGAUCUGCAUGUUUGGUGGGAUAUCUGCAUGAGGAAAUGGCUGUGCUCUCUCUGGGCAUCAUCUAUUCUCAAAGGGUGUCUCUCUUUUGAAUGUAUUGCUACCUUCCACCUUUGGGAGAAUGAUGAGAAGCAAGUGGACCCUGGAAGUACAAGUCCUGGCUGGGCAGUAAGCCAGGUUUUGUAUAAUUCAGUUGGCAUUCCUGUGCUGGUCAGAAAGCCUGUGAGGCCAUGGAGUUCAGGAGACGCUGAUUUCUUUCAGUGCUGGGCUUUUAAAUGCCUGCUAUUGUGUCAAGCAGCAGUCAGUCCAACUAGGUCAUGCCAGAGACUUGUAAAUGAACAGUUCUCUACCUUGUCCUUUCCCAGCUAAGCUUCGUUAAAGUAAUGACUUUGAGGUUAGCACUGAGAUUAGAAAGGAUAUGAAAUGCUUAUAAAUUGCUUGUUAAUCAAAGUAACCACAAUCAUCCAAGUUACUUCUGAGGUGCCUUGUCCUUAGCUGGCCACUGCUGUCUUCAGCGAGCAGCCCCAUGGCACUGGGCAGUAGCAAAACCAUUCAUUUCUGGCUGGUUUGUGUUGCGGGGAGCUCUGAUUCAGGCUGCUGUGGAUGUCUUUGCUGGUCAGAAAUACUGUGGGCACACUAAUUUUCCCUUGUGCCUGGGUUUGGAUGAGAUGCUGGUUCUUCUGGAUUCAUGUCCAGACAGAAUGAUGGUUUCACAUGCUUGCUGACCCACCUCUGUUUUCCUGCAUGGACAGGUAUACACAGCAUUGCUUCCAGGACAUGGGAGCAGCUCUCAGGAUGCCCUACUGUGUUUUAUACUUGACUUCUCCCUAAAUAUUUCUUCAUGCACCAGCAAGUCCCUGAUGCCUCUGAGAUCACUUUCUAAUAGCAGAGGCAUUCUCAGUUUCUCAUUUCUUUUCAAUAAGAUGUCUGCAGCUGACAACACAUAUGCUCCUCUUGCUAUUCUGUAACGCAGAAGUACUAAAUGCAGAUCUGAUUAUCCCUCUGCCUCCUUUUUCAAUAGGUGCUUUAUUGUGUUGACAGCAUCACUCACUGCCCAUUGCGUUGGUGUAAAGGGGGCCUGCAGCUGUGUGUCUGGGGCAUCACCGCAACGUGUUUAAAACUCCAGAUCAUCUGUGCUCUUACACUAAGUGUGCCACACUUGGUGCACCUAGAGCUCAGAUGAGUCCCUUGUUUAGUGGUGCUGUCCCCUGCUAAGGCUCUCUUAAGAAUAAAAAAAUGUCACCUGUUCCCAGGGCAAGUCUGCCGAGCUCUGUUAGCAGAAGCAGUAGGUGGCAAAAUGUCCUUUCCAGCUGUGACGAGCCACCAGUAGGUGAAGACAUGAAACCUUUGACACUCAAAUACCAUAGGCAAAACCUCAUUCACUAUUGCGACACACUUUUGUUAGCAUCUGUGAGACAUAAUCUAGUGCUCUUGGAAUGACCUCACCAUCAAGGAAAAGUUCAAGGGCUUCUCAUUUUUUUUUUACUCAUUGUCUUGGUACCUCUGGGCUGAACUUCUCCAAUCCAUUGAUUAACUACCUCUGACCCCUUAGUGAGACCAGCACGCUAUGGUCCUAUCUGCACAGACACACUUUCAAGUCUAGUAGGUGGAUUAAGCAUGAGUGUACUUCCCCUGUUCUAGAUUUUGAGAGAUAUUUGUCCUUUCAUACCCAUCUGUGCUGGAGUAACCAGAGUGACAUUAGGCUCUAGUCCUGGUAUCUCUCUACUCAUUUUGCUGUGUUCACUUUAAUCCUAGUCAUGUUAUUUCUAUUAGACAGAAUGUGCAUUUUUAUUUGUUCAGCUUUAGGCCAGCACUGUUUUGUUGUUGUUGUUUGUUUGUUUUUCAGUCUUGUGCAGAGCCAUACUGUUUUUCUUCUGGCCAACACUUCAAUUACACCAUCAAAAAUGUAAUGCAUUGAUUCAAAUCACCAAUGCCAUCAGACUUCCAAUCCCCACGAGUAAGAGGUGUCUUCUCCUUUGUCAAAUGAGCGCAUAUGUGCACUCCUUUUGUGCAGUAGUGCCUGCCAAAGCCUUGUAUCAAGCACAGGAAAGCAUUUGGCAUCCACCACCUCCCCAGAGGCUUCUCCCCUCAGAGGGGAAAAUUCCACUUUCCCAUAUUACGUUCUUUCAAUAAUGUACGUAAAUGAGGCUAUUUAAGGUUUCACUGUUUUUUUGUUCUUUUUUAUUUUUAUUUUUCCCUUCUGCAAAGCCUAUGCACUCACAGCUUCUUCAUCUUUCUCUCUGUUUCCUUGCUUCUCCUUCCUUCAUUUGGUAAGACCUGCCUUUUAGCCAUUAACACCCUGUUUCCUGUGGUUUUCCUUGUAAUGUUAGCGUUACUCUUUCUGGCACUCGUCUAGUGCUUGAACAGUCCAAGGCGAGCUUAUGAUGGAUGUGGCUGCUUUUUCCAAAUGCCAGCUGUCUGCUUGGUUUAUGUUAAAUGCCACAGCAGGGGUAUGUGCAUAUGUAGUUUCUCCUGGAUUCAGGCUCAGAGAAACAGUCUGAGCUGAACCUCUUCAGAUGAGGUCUGGGAAUUUCUGGGUGGCCAGAGCAUCAUCAGCUUCAGUCCUGGUAUCUGCUGAGAUCCCCAGGCGUCCUCCUCCAGGACUCCAGUCCCAACCCCACAGCUCAGCAGCAGCUCAGCCCCCUGAAAAUGUAAGGGGCGUUUGCCAAAGGGUCAGAGCUAGCCUCAGAGUUUCAGUGGGACAGGUUGCCCUAACGUGGGCCGAUGCCUGAGUGCUCUGUUCAUCUCCCACGAGUGCUGUGGGUGCCUGCCUGUGAGACUGGCCUUGGGAUUGAAUCUGGGGUUGAAAAAAUGAGUUAGUUUCUGCAUCUGUUCUUGGGCUAACUCUGCAGUGGAUCAAAUGUUUAGUGCUGUUAUAAAAAGGUCCUGCUAUCACUCAGCCACUGUUGAUACCCUUUAGAAGUAGUCCUGACUAAAUUUUUGGCUAAAUGACAGUAAUAGCUGGCAUCUCAUCCCAUGCUGUUCUCAUUGUGGCACUGAUCUUGGGGCUCCAGUGGACAUUAGAGAGGAGACCUUGGUCUGCCAUGCUGCUUGGUGGCUCUCCUGGUAGCUAUGCCCUGAAAUAGGCUAGCCCCAGCCUCUCAUUGUUCAGCAGUUCAUCGGAGAUGUUCAGCAAUGUGAGGAAGGCAGGCACUGGGGAACCUGGAGAGGUGAGAGAUACCAGAAAAUGGACAGAGAGGCGAGACUGACUUUGAGAGAGGAUACUGGGGCUCUCUGCUGCUAAAUUGGCUGUAUCUAGAAGGGAAAGAGUGGGACAGUCAAAUUCACAUCUUAAAUAAAACUAUGGAUUUCAGUACAGGACAAAACACUUCUGACCCGAAUUGUGCUCCUGCCUGUGUCACUGGCCACUGUUUGUCUCUGGAUAGGAGGCCCCCUUUUGCCAUGCCUCUGCUGCCUGAUCUGUAAAAUGAAGAUAUCAAUCCUAAUCCUCCUUAUAAAGCACUCUGAGACUCACUGGCAAAGGAGCUGCGGAACUGCAGAGCUAAGUGGACUGAAAUGGCUGUGUUAUUUUUGCUGAAGUUUAGAGCUUCUUAAAAGCCGGAGCUAACUGAAGCAGUAGUUAGACAACAGGAGAAAUAACUGGGUCAGGAGCUAUAUUUAUGAACAACGGCAGGGUCAUAUUACUCACUGUGAAUAAUUUAUCUGACAAAGACAUAUAGUUUGCAUAAUUUUCUUAAAACAAUGUACUGUAAAUAUUGCAGUCUGCUGAAUAAUUUGGGAGAUGAGUCAAUGGGAUUUGGUUAAGGUCCAACAACUUUUUGAGUUAUGGAAUUCCUUAUUCCCAGAUACUUUAACAGCACCAGCUGCAAUGAGAGUAGGUUCUCACUCACUCCAACUGGAAGUUCCCUUCAUGAACUGAAUUUAAGAACUGACUCAAUAGGAUUGGCCCUUCAGGGAUCAUGGGCUACUUGGCUGCUGUUGCAGACAGUGCCCCACCAGGUCUUGCUUGCCACAGUAAAGCUUGUUUUGAAGAAUGGAGGCUUGUGGUAAAACCUUGCCUUUUGCUCUAGAUAGCUAAGUGGCUCUUGGACUGGCCUUUUUUGUGACACUGAAGCUCAAACAUUGCACAGUAGCAUUUGCUUACAUGAAAAUUUCUGCUCACAAUGGACUUUUGUGAACAGCACAACAAUUAGCAUUCUUGGGGCAUUAUUCUGAGUUUAACUUAGUACCCUUGAAAACAAUCAAAUUCUGUGUUUGUUAGCUCUUGGACCCCUCACUGUCUUCUAGCUAAAUAAACCGUUGUGGCAGAAGUAGUGCUCAAUGGUAUCUGUUUGAAUGAAGAGCCUUGCUUGUUUCUGAAUGCUUUUCUUUCAUUCAGAGUCAGAAAAAAAGCUCCUGUAUCUCAUGGGGCUGAUGACAUCCACUCCCUUCUGUCAGCUCCUCUCUUUCACCGUCUGGGUUCACAAGACGAAAUGGGUCAGUGCACUGAACGGCCAUCUGGUUUCUGUGGGACCUGCUGGAAGUGGCUCAGCAGAGCACAACCAUGCUGAGCCAGCUCUCCUGCAUCACCCCUGCAGGUGUAACCUUGCUGAGUGCUGCUGCAAGACACGGCUCUGCAUCCUAUCUUGCUGCUUUGGGAAGGUCACGUUCCCAUGAGAGUUACUAUAUCUUCGCCACCAAAAUAGGGCUGGUCUUUCAUCAUGAUCUGAUUGGACCCAUGCUCUCCUCUGGCACAACAGAUUAGAGCUGCUCUUUUGCCUCCAUGCUCCAGCUGCAUGACAUGACUUAGAGACAGCCCACCAAGUCUUUUUCCUUCACAUCCAUCUUGCUAUUAUUAUCUUAUUUGCUCUUCUUCCCCAGGCAGCAGGAGAGGCAGAGAGGCCUUGGCUGGGGAAAUGAGGCAGAGGAGAUACUGCAGAAGGAGAAAGGGCUCAGGAGCAUGGGGUGAGGAGGAGACUGAACCUCCAAGGGCAAAACAAAGCAGUCAGCUGAGAAAGACAGAGAGACUGAAAAAAAAAUAAAUAAAUAAAAAUGUACAAGUUAAACUUAGGACAAAGAGAGAGGGGAAAAGCAAUUUCUAUUUUGCAGAAACAGCUUCUUAAAUGUAAGUAGAAAAACUAAAGUUUGGUUCCUUCCCCCAUCCCAAAUGUCCCACCGGCUAUGUGUAUGCCCUGGAAAAAUUUGCUUCAUGGCCCUCGGCUUCAGUUUUGCUGAUCCAGAUUUAGUUUUUUCUACUGGUUUUUCCAUUUCCAAGGUAAAUAAUGGGACACGGUGUAUUAUCAGGCAUUUAGAAGUAGAGAGGACAGCACCCAUGGGGUAUUGUAGGUUGCAUGCACAUUUAAUGAGCUGCCCCCUCACUUACUCACAGACUCACAGUGAAAAUAUUGAUGCUCAGCCCUGCCCUGGGCAUGAAAUAUGGGGUUUUAAUUCAGCACUGAACUGUCUGCCCUUUAGUGAAUGCUAACCGUGUGCCCAGACAAGAGGAAUGCAUUUGCUUGGACAGUAAACAUCUUUUUAUGGACCUUAAAAUAAUUUGGUUUCCAUUUUCUCCUCGCCAGGCAAAUCUUAUUUUGUCAGGACGGAGCUGUCACAGGCAGCACCAUUUCAUUCUUCACCAUGCCCAGCACUCUGUGGUACUGAACCAAAGCUCUGCUGCUUGAGGACAAACCCGGACAGAGGGCAUGAAGAAAGCUCAGCUGUGCACGGCUGCUGCCUUCCUGGCACUGGAGCACCCUCAGCAAUCUGCUCAGAAAGCUCAGAGCUGACUUUGCAUCUUUUGGCCUUGAUCUCUGGCUCUAAAGUUAAUUGGGAUAAUUCAGAGUUCACACCCCUAUCCCUGAGGGGUUGGUUUAAAAAUACAUGUAAUGUGAGUUUGAAAAUUAUUUCUUUUGAUUGGAAGUAUUUGGAAAUGUUCCUCUCCACUGGUUUUAAAAGGUGUCAUUUUUUUAUGAAUGCUGAGACGUUGAUUAAUAAAAUUCCGAAAGCAUUAACUCAA